UCUUCCCUCUGGCGGCGUGCUUAACACAUGCCAGUCGAACGGAAAGGCCCAAGCUUGCUUGGGUACUCGAGUGGCGAACGGGUGAGUAACACGUGGGUGAUCUGCCCUGCACUUCGGGAUAAGCCUGGGAAACUGGGUCUAAUACCGGAUAGGACCACUUCUUGGAUGUUGUGGUGGAAAGUUUUUUCGGUGUGGGAUGAGCUCGCGGCCUAUCAGCUUGUUGGUGGGGUAAUGGCCUACCAAGGCGUCGACGGGUAGCCGGCCUGAGAGGGUGUACGGCCACAUUGGGACUGAGAGACGGCCCAGACUCCUACGGGAGGCAGCAGUGGGGAAUAUUGCACAAUGGGCGCAAGCCUGAUGCAGCGACGCCGCGUGGGGGAUGACGGCCUUCGGGUUGUAAACUCCUUUCGCUAGGGACGAAGCGUUUUGUGACGGUACCUGGAGAAGAAGCACCGGCUAACUACGUG
rnacentral:rRNA from 1 species